rnacentral:rRNA from 1 species
GAUGAACGCUGGCGGCGUGCCUAAUACAUGCAAGUCGAGCGAACAGACGAGGAGCUUGCUCCUCUGACGUUAGCGGCGGACGGGUGAGUAAAACGUGGAUAACCUACCUAUAAGACUGGGAUAACUUCGGGAAACCGGAGCUAAUACCGGAUAAUCUAUUGAACCGCAUGGUUCAAUAGUGAAAGACGGUUUUGCUGUCACUUAUAGAUGGAUCCGCGCCGCAUUAGCUAGUUGGUAAGGUAACGGCUUACCAAGGCAACGAUGCGUAGCCGACCUGAGAGGAUGAUCGGCCACACUGGAACUGAGACACGGUCCAGACUCCUACGGGAGGCAGCAGUAGGGAAUCUUCCGCAAUGGGCGAAAGCUUGACGGAGCAACGCCGCGUGAGUGAUGAAGGUCUUCGGAUCGUAAAACUCUGUUAUUAGGGAAGAACAAAUGUGUAAGUAACUAUGCACGUCUUGACGGUACCUAAUCAGAAAGCCACGGCUAACUACGUG